UACGUAGGGUGCGAGCGUUAAUCGGAAUUACUGGGCGUAAAGAGUGCGUAGGCGGUGUUCCAAGUCUGUUGUGAAAUCUCCCGGCUUAACUGGGAGGGUGCGGCGGAAACUGGAAUGCUGGAGUGUGGGAGAGGUAAGCGGAAUUCCCGGUGUAGCGGUGAAAUGCGUAGAUAUCAGGAGGAACACCUGCGGUGUAGACGGCUUACUGGACCAUAACUGACGCUGAGGCACGAAAGCGUGGGUAGCAAACAGG
rnacentral:rRNA from 1 species